UUUAUGUAAUACUUGAUUCAGUGCUUUUAAAUGCAUGAAUUUGGCAUGUUGUGGAUUUAUGAUUUUACUCCAGAGGGAAAACACAGUGGAUGUUUUAAAAAAAAUGGUUUUCUCAUGUUAUCUAAAAAUCAGAAAGUUUAGAUAUGCUCCUUUUGCUUUUUUUAGUUGGAGCCAUCACUGAAUAUGGUUUCUUAAAAGAAACGAAAAUCCACUUUCUGAUAGAAUAAUUGAUAUUGCACAUAAUUUUUCAAUUGUUGCAGCCUGCUGUUUGUCAGUUUUAAGAAUUCCUUUUAACAUUCAUGCUUCAUGAACUUGCUUUUCUGUUGUCCUUUGGCCCAUUCCGGGGAGGAAGCUGUAACAUUAAUUUGUCUAUGACGAAGGUCUUAAUGAUAUAAGUUUUUAAAAAAUGUGUUUUCUUCUAAUGAUAUUAGUAUUUUGCAGACAAAGUGUACAUGGAAGCCUUGUUAUGAAAAUGAAAUAAAUGCCAUUUCAAGAAGAAAGUAUCUUUGCGGAUUAAUGAACACUUGUAUAAUGCCCGAAACCUCAAAAGGGUGGUUCGUUGCACACCGGAGGUUCCAUGAGUUUCGCAGGCCACCAACGAAGAUUGCGAAAGUUAAACGGGGGAGAGGCUGUGCCUCUUUUUGAGGUCUUCGAGGAGACACAUUAGAAGGAGGAGGACGGUACAAGUGAAGGUUGGUUGAGCCACGUGCUAAGGAGACAUAUGAAGGAUUUCAAAAAGGUUUGGAAGAUUGACGUCAGACCCAGCCUGCUUCAGAGGAUGGUACCGCAUUCCGACCAUCGCCUGCGGAUAUGACUUCAAUGUGGACACAGGUGGCAGGUGGUCCCAGCAAAGGUAGAGUCUACGGGCUUGGAGUUCUGCGUUCCUCAUCUAGUCCUUCGCCGUUGUUGUCUAAUGCUUCUACUUCGCAAAAUACGGAAGAAAUGGAAGCGAUGCAAAGCCGAAUUGCAGAGCUGAAGCAAAAGUGUGAAACUUCCGAUGACAAUUAGAUUGUAGUUGCUGGUUAUUGGCUUUUAUUGUGACUUUUAGACUUUUUAGACUUUAAGUUUCAUGUAGUUGUUGGUUUGGGAUGUUUAAACUAUUUCGAACGUGAUGUUUGAUUGGAUGUUUCAAAUGUUUAGACUACUUCUUCA